rnacentral:rRNA from 1 species
GCAGCAUGGGCGAGCCUGAUGCAGCACGCCGCGUGAGCGAUGAAGGCCUUCGGGUCGUAAAGCUCUGUCCUAUGGGAAGAUAAUGACGGUACCAUAGGAGGAAGCCCCGGCUAACUACGUGCCAGCAGCCGCGGUAAUACGUAGGGGGCAAGCGUUAUCCGGAAUUA